GCACGCUUUGCUCACUACGCCUCUGUCAAUAACGAUGUGCUCUUUACCUGGGUAAAUCCUUGGUGCCACGAAGCAGUAAUGCCAACAUUUUUAAGUAAAGGUGAUAAACUUUAGAUAAGACUACUAAAAUGAUUUCUCUGUUACAGCCCAGGGUGAAGAAGGCGUGACUAAAAAAACUAAAGUUAGUUGAAGCAGAGCUGGCAAAGUUAAAGAUAAAGUAUGCUGUAAGUUAUUUGACUAAUUUCAUGGAGCUGGAACAUUCUCAAGAGAUAAAGAAUAAGCAGCUUAAACAAGCGAAGGACAAUCGAAAAAUGGCUCUGAAAAAGAAGGACCAAACACAACAUUGAAUUAAAAUUGUAAAAUAAAAACAACUUACGACUUCGUUUAUAAAACACAUUUUUUUACCUCCAGCUUCUAAAACGGCAGCUUCAAGAAUUAGAAGAAGCAACAAACAACUGAAAUAAAUCAGCCAAAUGUUCCUCAUUCUACGAGGACUCCCUUUUGAUUACCCGAGGCACUCACUUGGAUGGCUGCCUGGUCGUGCGGUUUGCGCUCUGGACUGUCGUUCGGAUUUAUCGACGGUCGAGGGUUCAAACCCUGCCCGCUAUCAUCCCCCGUCGUCCUGCGGGAGGUUUGGACUAGGAAGUAAACUAUCUUCAACUCUGAAGGAACAUCCGAAACAUGUCAAACAAAACAAAACAAGCCUGUAAUUUUGUUUAAGACUAAUGCAAGGCCUUGGAAAUUGUUUCUAAGGAGGAAGAAAACAUGUCAAUCUAAUACUACGUAUUAUAGAAAUGCAUCGCACCAUUGAACUCCUAUGUUAGCUUGUUGGUUUUUUUUUUUGGUUAGUUAAAUAUAUUUAAAUGUUUGACAUAAUGUUGGUAAUAUUUUCUAAAUGUUCAUAUUAUCUCUGGUUAUAUUCUUCUUCUAAAUCUGUUUUCUCAUUCAAAAUUGUAUACUUGUAUAUUUAUAUUUGCUUGUAUAUUUAAUGAAAAUUAAAAUGCUAAUUGUUGUUAAUAAAAAU